CUUUUUUGUUGUUGGACUAUACCGUUAAAAUCAGUGGGCUCCAGUGUUGUUUGGUUCUCAAUGUUUUUUCCCUUCCACAGAAGAGUCAUUAUGGUUUGAAUGACAUGAGGCUGAAUAAAUGUUGACAGAAUAUUCAUUUAUGGGUAAACUAUCCCUAUAAGCAAUUUGCUCUGUAUGUAAUUUGAAAAGAGAAUAAAUGGAUUUCAGUUGUGUUUUCAUGUAGGGAGUGAUGAAGAAAAAUCCAAGGGAAGGAGUAACCGCAUAAGUGAAACAGAAAUAGAUGAAAUGGGAAGAAUAGGGAAUCUGUGAGUGAGGAAACAAGACAGUGAGCGAGCUGGUGAAUGAGAGCGAGGGAGGGAGAGAUAGGCAGAAGGAACUUGUUGCCCCUGGUUGGUGUUGUGUAAGACUUGGCUGGCUGUAGCAGAAUAACACUCUUAUUCUCUCAGUGCUUUGAACUCUGGUACCCUACAGCUCCGACCACCCCUCUUUGCAACAGCAAGAACUCACAUUGAGGUCCCUCUCUCUUUCUCUCUCUCUGUCUCUCUCUCGCUCUCUCUCUGUGUCUAUUUCACUCUCCCCUUUCCUGCUGUGUCGCACUUCUCUUUCUCUUUCCUUAAGUCGUACCUCUGCUUCAUUCUCAUUUGUCUUUCACUUUCUCCCACAUGUGCUUGUCUGAUUCAGAUGUGCUGCUGUACCUUUUUGCAUUUGUAGAAAGUUUAUGAUAUUUUUUUCUGUCCUGUUGGACUGAGAACAGGCGUGUACGGCUUCAUCAGCUGUGUCGUCACGUGUGAUGCUACCGGCUCUACACCGACCCGAUCUGGACUGCACAUGAGCCACAUAGCUGGAGGGUGUAUGGUGUGGGAACGGAGAUGGGGGAUGUCCCUGUGUUCUUCACAGCCCGGGCAGCCAGGCUGUCAGGGACAGGCCCUGGUGGUGAAGCCUGUGAGGAGUUUGCAGAGAUGUCCCGCUCAACAAUGGUGUGUUUCUGUGCUUGUAUGACGUCUAACAGCAUGACAGAAUGGUUCCAGACGUCCUUUCUCAAAAGGUCAAGGGAAUGGGAUUAUAUGUCAAGUGUCUGUGUCGUCAUGUUGGUUUCUAGAGAUCACCAGGCAUAUCGCACGUGUGUCACUGCACACACACGAGCAAGGCUGGCACAAAGCAGCUCAACAGAUGAGACCUCAUCAGCUGCAUCCGUUUAUAGUCAUGAACAGCUGUUUUAGUCACUGAAACAGCAUCAUUUUUUCUUAUUGAUAUGUACGUGGGCUUUCAUUUUAUUUAAAACAAGUGUUAGACAAGCAAAAAUGUCUACAUUCUUUCUUAACUUGGACUAACACUGUUAAAAAAUGCUAAUUUUGUUUUCUGAAUCAUUGUUUCUGGCACUGAAAGGGUUAGUUAGUCUGUGAAUUCUCCCCUGCCAACUCCCAGGCAGUUGAAUAAGUAACCCAAUUCGGAGGCAUCUGCUCGGGGAAGGGCGUGUAUCUGCCUCCCCCUCACCCUGAUUCCUCUCCACUCCUCUCCUCCUCCCGGAGCUGUGGUUAGCCCUGCCCUUACAGGUCAUGUGACUUCUCUGAAACUCCCUCCUCCCCCUGCCUCCCCCCCCCCUUGUGUUUCCAGUAAACUGCUGAAAGGAGGGGCUGAGUCAGUCUUCAACCAGCUUCCCUUUGACCACAGCUUGUUAAAGAAUUUGUCAACGUGGACUCCAGGGUGUACAUUUUUUUCAUCCUUCUGAUAGAUAGAUUUGAAUUUUCAUCAUCUCUCCCUCCCUGGACUAGUCUGAUUACGUCAGGCACCCAUAAUCACUUCCUGCGCUUUGCCAUAGAAAGAGAGUGUGUGCGUGUGAGAGAGAGAGAGCGGCUCAUAUAAUGGACUUUGAUAUUUGGCGGCAUGUGUGCCAGAGACGUUUGUCUUGGUGCCUGUCUGAAAGGGUUUCAUUCAGAAAAAAGAUGGGAAUAAUAAUCCAAGAAAGGGGGGUGGGGGUGGGGGGUGUACAAUUUCAUUUAUAACUUGAUUACGAUCUUCCUGUGAUUCUCACAGCUGGCGAUCUGAUUUUCUGGUAUUAGAUCAUGCUGAAUAUUUGCUUUUGCAAACUCACUUGCUCCACAGACAGACAAAUGAACUUUUUGUGUAAAUAAAACGGAAACUGGCGCAAAUAAACUCUGAGCU
ensembl:lncRNA